CCUGAACGCUGGCGGCGUGGCUAAGACAUGCAAGUCGUACGGUGCAGCAAUGCACAGUGGCGAACGGGUGAGUAAUGAAUCGCUAACGUGCCCCGGACUCUGGGAUAGCCGCCCGAAAGGGCGGGUAAUACCAGAUGACAUAACCUUUCCGCAUGGUGAGGUUCUCAAAGGUCCGCCGGUCUGGGAGCGGGCGAUUUCGUAUCAGCUAGUUGGUGGGGUAACGGCCCACCAAGGCGACGACGCGUAGCCGGACUGAGAGGUUGGCCGGCCACAUUGGGACUGAGACACUGCCCAGACUCCGUACGGGGGCUGC
rnacentral:rRNA from 1 species